GUGGGGAAUUUUGGACAAUGGGCGAAAGCCUGAUCCAGCCAUGCCGCGUGCAGGAUGAAGGCCUUCGGGUUGUAAACUGCUUUUGUACGGAACGAAAAGACUCCUUCUAAUAAAGGGGGUCCAUGACGGUACCGUAAGAAUAAGCACCGGCUAACUACGUGCCAGCAGCCGCGGUAAUACGUAGGGUGCAAGCGUUAAUCGGAAUUACUGGGCGUAAAGCGUGCGCAGGCGGUUAUAUAAGACAGAUGUGAAAUCCCCGGGCUCAACCUGGGAACUGCAGUUGUGACUGUAUAGCUAGAGUACGGUAGAGGGGGAUGGAAUUCCGCGUGUAGCAGUGAAAUGCGUAGAUAUGCGGAGGAACACCGAUGGCGAAGGCAAUCCCCUGGACCUGUACUGACGCUCAUGCACGAAAGCGUGGGGAGCAAACAGGAUUAGAUACCCUAGUAGUCC
rnacentral:rRNA from 1 species